rnacentral:rRNA from 1 species
GGGGGGGGGGGGGGGGGGGGGGGGGGGGGGGGGGGCGAAGGGUGGAGCGUGGUGCGGGCACUGGGUGGAUGAGGGGCGAACGGGUGAGGAAUACGUGAGUAACCUGCCCUUGACUCUGGGAUAAGCCGGGGAAACUGGGUCUAAUACUGGAUAUGACAUGCCACUGCAUGGUGGUGUGUGGAAAGGGGUUUACUGGUUUUGGAUGGGCUCACGGCCUAUCAGCUUGUUGGUGGGGUAAUGGCCUACCAAGGCGACGACGGGUAGCCGGCCUGAGAGGGUGACCGGCCACACUGGGACUGAGACACGGCCCAGACUCCUACGGGAGGCAGCAGUGGGGAAUAUUGCACAAUGGGCGGAAGCCUGAUGCAGCGACGCCGCGUGAGGGAUGACGGCCUUCGGGUUGUAAACCUCUUUCAGCCCGGAAGAAGCGAGAGUGACGGUACGUGCAGAAGAAGCGCCGGCUAACUACGUG